GCGGGUAUAGUUUAGUGGUAGAAUAUUUGGCUUCCAACCAAAGGACGAGAGUUCGAUUCUCUCUACCCGCA
rnacentral:tRNA from 1 species